AACGAACGCUGGCGGCAUGCCUAACACAUGCAAGUCGAACGAUCCCUCCGGGGUUUUUGGCGCAUGGCUGCGUAACGCGUGGGAACCUGCCCUUAGGUUCGGAAUACCUCAGAGACUUUUGAGCUAAUACCGGAUAAUGUCUUCGGACCAAGGAUUUAUGGCGUUUGGAUGGGCCCGCGUUGGAUUCGCUUGUUGGUGGGGUAAUGGCAUACUAAGGCGCGGAUGCAUAGCUGGUCUGAGAGGAGGAUCAGCGACACUGGGAAUAAGACACGGCCCAGACUCGUACGGAAGGGAGGAGAGGGGAACAUAGGACAAGGGGGGAAGGCCUGAAAAAGCAAUGCCGGGUAAGUGAUGAAGGCCGUAGGGUAGUAAAGCUGAUUUAACCGGGAAGAUAAUGACGGUACCGGGAGAAUAAGCCCCGGCUAACUACGCG
rnacentral:rRNA from 1 species